UCGAUUUGGAAGGAGGUCGCACCAACGGGGAUCAAAGUAGGCUAAUCGAUAAGACAACGUCUUCUCGAUCGAUCAAUCUCGCCUGUCCGGUCCAACAGGCAAACUCGACCUUAAUCUACAGCUAUAUAUAACGGCGACACGUGCGAUGUGGCCGCGGCAUGUUUACCAGCGGCCUGACGGGCAAUGGACGGGAGUAACGCUAUUCUUCCAUGUUUUCGAUCUCACCCUUUUGAUGCAGGAGAUUUUUGCAUCGGUCCAUACGACGGAUAUAAACAUUCAGUUAUUUCUUAGAUUUUUGAGAAAAAUGCCAGCCGUUCAUUCAUUUGACCAGAGAAAAAAAAUCAGAUGAAAAGAAAAGGAAAAAGGAUCAGAUGAAAAAAAACUAGCAUGGAUAUUCAUUAUUUCCCUACAUUUAAAACUGAUUAUAUUUAUUAAAUCAAUUUAAGUCUUGCGGAAGCUACAAUUAUUUUGCAAUCCCCUUUUACAGUGAUGGUUCAUGCAUUGCUCAUAUUCGUCGUGCUACAAAAGCAUAGCGUUUUUCUCUCUCUUAAUUUUAUGUUUUUUCGUGUAUCAUUAUGAUUUACAUGGGCACCAAGGUGAACUAUUGUUAAACCUUCCAGAUCGAUCAUAUUGCGAUCCCGCCUUGCUGAAUAAUAACUGAAUAUUCAACCCUCAAUUCUUUGUUUGACAUUAUUUGUAUGAGAAUAUUUUAUUUUGUAACCAAUAGUUAAAUCACGCAAAAGUUGUAAACACACGAACAAUGAAGUUCUAUUAUGAUUCGGUUGCUUUUGUUUCAAGUAAUUGGUGCUUUCUGAAUAUGCACAAAAAAAAACUUUCAAAUGCCUAUCUAAUGGGAGCUCUAUCGAAAUGUAUGGAUAUCAUAUGUGUAUUCUUACAUUACUUCUAAUGCCUGUACUUACUUUUCAUGAAGUAAUUAUUUGUUCAAAGGUAAUUUUCAGGUCAUGUUCCUUCAACACUACUGGGAACCGCUGAAAAUUGUACAAUGAUGAAGACCACAAGUGUUACCAAAUAAUUAAACAAUGAAGCAGUAUUUUGAAGGACGUGCUUCUAGCAUGGCGGUAAGUCCUCUAGGUGUAAGGCUACAACCUUGGUUCUCACACAAAGGGUCCCUCACUAACUUUGCAAUUGCGCCACCGUGGACAAUGAAGCCGGCAUUUCGGUCCUUCCGGAUGAUCAAGUUUUUUUCUAAUAUUUUCCAGUAAUAAAAAGAUUGUGCUUUCACACACCUCUUUUGUGUUUGCGUGUUUGGAAAAACAA